rnacentral:rRNA from 1 species
AGUGGCGGACGGGUGAGUAACGCGUGAGAAUCUGCCUUGGGGUCGGGGACAACCACUGGAAACGGUGGCUAAUACCGGAUAAGCCGAUUGGUGAAAGAUUUAUUGCCCGAAGAGGAGCUCGCGUCUGAUUAGCUAGUUGGUGAGGUAAGAGCUCACCAAGGCAGCGAUCAGUAGCUGGUCUGAGAGGACGAUCAGCCACACUGGGACUGAGACACGGCCCAGACUCCUACGGGAGGCAGCAGUGGGGAAUUUUCCGCAAUGGGCGAAAGCCUGACGGAGCAAGACCGCGUGGGGGAGGAAGGCUCUAGGGUUGUAAACCCCUUUUUCUUUGGGAAGAACAAAAUGACGGUACCAAAGGAAUCAGCCUCGGCUAACUCCGUGCCAGCAGCCGCGGUAAUACGGAGGAGGCAAGCGUUAUCCGGAAUGAUUGGGCGUAAAGCGUCCGCAGGUGGCAAUGUAAGUCUGCUGUCAAAACCCAGGGCUCAACUCUGGUCAGGCAGUGGAAACUACAUAGCUAGAGUUCGGUAGGGGCAAAGGGAAUUCCCGGUGUAGCGGUGAAAUGCGUAGAGAUCGGGAAGAACAUCGGUGGCGAAAGCGCUUUGCUAGACCGAAACUGACACUCAGGGACGAAAGCUAGGGGAGCGAAUGGGAUUAGAUACCCC